GUUCAAGCCUCCUUCUCCCUCCUUUUUGAAACACGAUCACCUAUAUUCAUGCACACUCUUGUGUUAGGGCUCAAAUGCUAGCAGCAGAUGUGUGAUCAGGUGAUCGGUCUCAGAAAUAAAGCAAUCUGAAUGAGGACAGGACUUCCCAAGAGCAGCUGCCUUAAUAUCCUGCAUGGCGAAGCCAACCGAAUCUCAGGACUCUGCCAUCAAAAUCAAAUGUGUUUACUUCGUUCAAAGAAUCAGAAACUGCAUGAAAAUACCCAGUGGCAGGAUACUGAAGAAAUACCAGAGUAGGACCAUAAGGAGUGUUGCGAUAAAUGUGAAGAAACGGAAACCCCUAUGCACAGCUGGGAAAUGUAAAGUGACUCAGAUUCCUUGAAACAGGGUCUCUCUGUGUUGUCCAGGCUGGUCUCAAAACUCCCAGUUGCAAGCGAUUCACCUGCCUCAGCCUCCCAAAAUGUUGGGAUUACAGAUGUGAGCCAUCAUGC